rnacentral:tRNA from 1 species
GCCUCGGUAGUCUAAUGGCUUAGGAUACUCGUACGGAAUACAAGAAGUCCGGGUUCGACUCCCGGCCGAGGUA